rnacentral:rRNA from 1 species
AUUGAACGCUGGCGGCAGGCCUAACACAUGCAAGUCGAACGAGUGGCGGACGGGUGAGUAAUGUCUGGGAUACUGCCUGAUGGAGGGGGAUAACUACUGGAAACGGUAGCUAAUACCGCAUACCAUCAGAUGUGCCCAGAUGGGAUUAGCUUGUUGGUGGGGUAACGGCUCACCAAGGCGACGAUCCCUAGCUGGUCUGAGAGGAUGACCAGGCACACUGGAACUGAGACACGGUCCAGACUCCUACGGGAGGCAGCAGGGGGGAAUAGUUGACAAUGGGGGGAAGCCUGAUUGAGCCCUGCCGGGUGGAUGAAGAAGGCCUUCGGGUUGUAAAGGACUUUCAGCGGGGAGGAGUUACCCGCAGAAGAAGCAACCGGCAACCCCGUGCCAGCAGCCGCGGUAAUAC